rnacentral:tRNA from 1 species
GGUGGCUCAGUGGAAGAGUGCUUGCCUUGAAUGCAGGAGACCCUGGGUUCAAUUUCUCAGCC